rnacentral:rRNA from 2 species
GUGCGAGACCGAUAGCGAACAAGUACCGCGAGGGAAAGAUGAAAAGAACUUUGAAAAGAGAGUUAAAGAGUACCUGAAACUGCUGAAAGGGAAGCGAAUCGUAUCCAGUGUCUAUAAUCUGCGGCAUAUUUCAUUGGCGGCAGUGUGCGUGCUUUUGCGUCGGAAGCGGCUUUUGUUGCUCUGUGCUUUUGCUGUGCGUGCUGUUGCUGGUGCCCUGUGUUGCGGUGGGACGUCAGAGUCAGUUCGUAUGUUGCGGGAAAUGGCCGCCGAGGAGGUAGGUCAGGACUUCGGUCUUGGCUGUUAUAUCUUGGUGGUUUGUUGUCGUGGUUGGGACUGAGGUGCCUACAAUGUGCUUUUGAGUGUACCGGGUUCUCAUUUGGUGGACUGUUUGGAUAGCUUGCUAUGCUUGUGGUUUUUUCAUCGGGUGAUUGAGUCUGGUGGUAACUUGUUGCUGUUCGGGACUUUGA